AAGAUGUUAGUAAAACAUUACACUGCCUUGUCAAGGCAGAAUUGCGAGUUAGACUCUCGCACAUCUUA
rnacentral:tRNA from 1 species